rnacentral:rRNA from 1 species
AGUGAACGCUGGCGGUAGGCCUAACACAUGCAAGUCGAACGGCAGCACAGUAAGAGCUUGCUCUUACGGGUGGCGAGUGGCGGACGAGUGAGGAAUACAUCGGAAUCUACUUUUUCGUGGGGGAUAACGUAGGGAAACUUACGCUAAUACCGCAUACGACCUACGGGUGAAAGCAGGGGAUCUUCGGACCUUGCGCGAUUGAAUGAGCCGAUGUCGGAUUAGCUAGUUGGCGGGGUAAAGGCCCACCAAGGCGACGAUCCGUAGCUGGUCUGAGAGGAUGAUCAGCCACACUGGAGCUGAGACACGGUCCAGGCUCCUACGGGAGGCAGCAGUGGGGAAUGUUGGACAAGGGGGGCAAGCCUGAUCCAGCCAGACCGCGUGGGUGAAGAAGGCCUUCGGGUUGUAAAGCCCUUUUGUUGGGAAAGAAAAGCAGCAGGUUAAUACCCCGCUGUUCUGACGGUACCCAAAGAAUAAGCACCGGCUAACUUCGU